rnacentral:lncRNA from 1 species
GCUAGGAUGUAGGUUACAAUAGCGUUCUUCUGUCAAGUGUUUUAAAGCUGUAGUACAGACACUCUUGACCUUUUAUAUAGAUAUAUUUUUAACUGUUAGGACAGAGGAGGCUGAUUUUUUUUUUUUUUUUUUUUUUUGAUGAAAAGUGAAGCCAAAGACUGCUUGGGUUUCACAUGUCCUGCUUUAUAUGCAGCAACUGAUCAGUGUGUUUACAUUUUUCUUCUCCCCCCCACAUACAGAAUAAAUAAACUUUCCUACAUUCACAGCAUUUCUUAAUUGUUGGUGUAUCUCACUAAACUUGCAUGUGAAUGUAAAUGUGCAAUAUAAGCACGUGAAGCAAGCAGCUCCCUCUUUAUAACUAAUCCCAUUCUUUCAGUGGGCACUGGUUUAUUCUCAGAUUUAAUUCUAGAUAGAAUCCUUAGAGUUUGGAGAGAGGGAGGAAAAAAGCUGCCAGUGAGGUUAUUCAGAGUGGAAUAUGUGUUAUUGCCACCACUGCAUAUUUUACUAUCAGAAAAACACCAGUGAUCCUAAGGAGGUGUUGGUGCCAAGAGUUUGAGGUUUUCCUUGAGAAGGAAGCAUAUGUGCAACAACCCCACCAACCACGUAGGGAGGAGAGGAGAUUGAAUGCAACCGUCCAAAAUGUGUAAGUAAAGGAGUAGAGUAUAAUUACUGACACUUUUUGAUGUAGUUUAAUUUGCUACAUUCAAUAAUUACUGUCAGCUCUGUAGAUCUGAUAUGUAUAUGUCCACAUAGCUCAGUGAAAAAAUACCAUGAUCAAUAAUUUGUUUGCCAAUACUUUGUAAUGCUGUAGACUACCUUCAGUCCUAAGGUGGUGCCGUGUCAUUUAGCUGUACGGCACGGAGGGCUGACAGGAAUUUGAAAAUUAAAAUCGUUUACAGAAAUAUGCACAAUUUGUUCUAUGACGUUCUUUUGAAGGUAAAGAGAACUGUACUGACAGACUUUCUGAGUGAUACUGCUCUAUGCUGUAUUUUUAAUCUAUUCACAAUGAAUAAAUAAAAAUCUGUAUUUUUAAAAAAUGUGAGAAUAAAUCUUGAGGCUUGGCCUGGUGAAAUUGAUCCGGGUGCGGUGUUUCUGAAUGGGUGAGGACGACAUGAAGGAAUCCCUUCUUUGUACACCAGACAUGCAAAAUACCAAUUCCUGCAUCGCUGCCCGCCCCCCCCGCAUCGUCUGCUUUCGUUCUGGCUGGUCACUGAAGUUGGUCUUCUGUCACUUUUCUCAGUAGAGUUUUUAAAAUGUUCCGAAGUUCCAUUUUACUCCCAGAAGCUUCCAGAAGUCGUGCUGUUCUUCCUGUUCAGUCCCUGUUUCCUUGCACUUCCAAC